UUCCAGACUCCUACGGGAGGCAGCAGUGGGGAAUAUUGCACAAUGGGGGAAACCCUGAUGCAGCGACGCCGCGUGAGCGAAGAAGUAUUUCGGUAUGUAAAGCUCUAUCAGCAGGGAAGAAAAAAAUGACGGUACCCGAGUAAGAAGCACCGGCUAAAUACGUGCCAGCAGCCGCGGUAAUACGUAGGGGGCAAGCGUUAUCCGGAUUUACUGGGUGUAAAGGGAGCGUAGACGGCAGUGCAAGUCCGGAGUGAAAGCCCGGGGCCCAACCCCGGGACUGCUCUUGGAACUGCGUGGCUGGAGUGCAGGAGGGGCAGGCGGAAUUCCUGGUGUAGCGGUGAAAUGCGUAGAUAUCAGGAGGAACACCGGUGGCGAAGGCGGCCUGCUGGACUGCAACUGACGUUGAGGCCCGAAAGCGUGGGGAGCAAACAGGAUUAGAUACCCGUGUAAG
rnacentral:rRNA from 1 species